rnacentral:rRNA from 1 species
AGGAUGAACGCUAGCUACAGGCUUAACACAUGCAAGUCGAGGGGCAGCAUGGUCUUAGCUUGCUAAGGCCGAUGGCGACCGGCGCACGGGUGAGUAACACGUAUCCAACCUGCCGUCUACUCUUGGACAGCCUUCUGAAAGGAAGAUUAAUACAAGAUGGCAUCAUGAGUCCACAUGUUCACAUGAUUAAAGGUAUUCCGGUAGACGAUGGGGAUGCGUUCCAUUAGAUAGUAGGCGGGGUAACGGCCCACCUAGUCUUCGAUGGAUAGGGGUUCUGAGAGGAAGGUCCCCCACAUUGGAACUGAGACACGGUCCAAACUCCUACGGGAGGCAGCAGUGAGGAAUAUUGGUCAAUGGGCGAGAGCCUGAACCAGCCAAGUAGCGUGAAGGAUGACUGCCCUAUGGGUUGUAAACUUCUUUUAUAAAGGAAUAAAGUCGGGUAUGCAUACCCGUUUGCAUGUACUUUAUGAAUAAGGAUCGGCUAACUCCGUGCCAGCAGCCGCGGUAAUACGGAGGAUCCGAGCGUUAUCCGGAUUUAUUGGGUUUAAAGGGAGCGUAGAUGGAUGUUUAAGUCAGUUGUGAAAGUUUGCGGCUCAACCGUAAAAUUGCAGUUGAUACUGGAUAUCUUGAGUGCAGUUGAGGCAGGCGGAAUUCGUGGUGUAGCGGUGAAAUGCUUAGAUAUCACGAAGAACUCCGAUUGCGAAGGCAGCCUGCUAAGCUGCAACUGACAUUGAGGCUCGAAAGUGUGGGUAUCAAACAGGAUUAGAUACCCUGGUAGUCCACACGGUAAACGAUGAAUACUCGCUGUUUGCGAUAUACGGCAAGCGGCCAAGCGAAAGCGUUAAGUAUUCCACCUGGGGAGUACGCCGGCAACGGUGAAACUCAAAGGAAUUGACGGGGGCCCGCACAAGCGGAGGAACAUGUGGUUUAAUUCGAUGAUACGCGAGGAACCUUACCCGGGCUUAAAUUGCAGAUGAAUUACGGUGAAAGCCGUAAGCCGCAAGGCAUCUGUGAAGGUGCUGCAUGGUUGUCGUCAGCUCGUGCCGUGAGGUGUCGGCUUAAGUGCCAUAACGAGCGCAACCCUUGUUGUCAGUUACUAACAGGUUCCGCUGAGGACUCUGACAAGACUGCCAUCGUAAGAUGUGAGGAAGGUGGGGAUGACGUCAAAUCAGCACGGCCCUUACGUCCGGGGCUACACACGUGUUACAAUGGGGGGUACAGAGGGCCGCUACCACGCGAGUGGAUGCCAAUCCCCAAAACCUCUCUCAGUUCGGACUGGAGUCUGCAACCCGACUCCACGAAGCUGGAUUCGCUAGUAAUCGCGCAUCAGCCACGGCGCGGUGAAUACGUUCCCGGGCCUUGUACACACCGCCCGUCAAGCCAUGGGAGCCGGGGGUACCUGAAGUGCGUAACCGCGAGGAGCGCCCUAGGGUAAAACUGGUGACUGGG